rnacentral:rRNA from 1 species
GGGUUGUGAGGUUAAGCGACUAAGCGUACACGGUGGAUGCCCUGGCAGUCAGAGGCGAUGAAGGGCGUGCUAAUCUGCGAUAAGCGCCGGUAAGGUGAUAUGAACCGUUAUAACCGGCGAUACCCGAAUGGGGAAACCCAGUGUGACUCGUCACACUAUCAUUAACUGAAUCCAUAGGUUAAUGAGGCGAACCGGGGGAACUGAAACAUCUAAGUACCCCGAGGAAAAGAAAUCAACCGAGAUUCCCCCAGUAGCGGCGAGCGAACGGGGAGGAGCCCAGAGCCUGAAUCAGCAUGUGUGUUAGUGGAAGCGUCUGGAAAGGCGCGCGAUACAGGGUGACAGCCCCGUACACAAAAGCGCAUGUGCUGUGAGCUCGAUGAGUAGGGCGGGACACGUGGUAUCCUGUCUGAAUAUGGGGGGACCAUCCUCCAAGGCUAAAUACUCCUGACUGACCGAUAGUGAACCAGUACCGUGAGGGAAAGGCGAAAAGAACCCCGGCGAGGGGAGUGAAAAAGAACCUGAAACCGUGUACGUACAAGCAGUGGGAGCCCCACCACCAAAGCAUUCUCUGGUGUUGAAGGCCCUGCAAAGCAGCAUCGCGGUGGCGGAGCGUCGUUUGCGACGCCCAACACACAAAACAAGCGGUGAAUGCUUUGGGGUGGGGUGACUGCGUACCUUUUGUAUAAUGGGUCAGCGACUUAUAUUCUGUAGCAAGGUUAACCGAAUAGGGGAGCCGGAGGGAAACCGAGUCUUAAUUGGGCGUUAAGUUGCAGGGUAUAGACCCGAAACCCGGUGAUCUAGCCAUGGGCAGGUUGAAGGUUGGGUAACACUAACUGGAGGACCGAACCGACUAAUGUUGAAAAAUUAGCGGAUGACCUGUGGCUGGGGGUGAAAGGCCAAUCAAACCGGGAGAUAGCUGGUUCUCCCCGAAAGCUAUUUAGGUAGCGCCUCGUGAAUUCAUCUCCGGGGGUAGAGCACUGUUUCGGCUAGGGGGCCAUCCCGGCUUACCAACCCGAUGCAAACUGCGAAUACCGGAGAAUGUUAUCACGGGAGACACACGGCGGGUGCUAACGUCCGUCGUGAAGAGGGAAACAACCCAGACCGCCAGCUAAGGUCCCAAAGUCAUGGUUAAGUGGGAAACGAUGUGGGAAGGCCCAGACAGCCAGGAUGUUGGCUUAGAAGCAGCCAUCAUUUAAAGAAAGCGUAAUAGCUCACUGGUCGAGUCGGCCUGCGCGGAAGAUGUAACGGGGCUAAACCAUGCACCGAAGCUGCGGCAGCGACGCUGAUGCGUUGUUGGGUAGGGGAGCGUUCUGUAAGCCUGCGAAGGUGACCUGUGAGGGUUGCUGGAGGUAUCAGAAGUGCGAAUGCUGACAUAAGUAACGAUAAAGCGGGUGAAAAGCCCGCUCGCCGGAAGACCAAGGGUUCCUGUCCAACGUUAAUCGGGGCAGGGUGAGUCGACCCCUAAGGCGAGGCCGAAAGGCGUAGUCGAUGGGAAACGGGUUAAUAUUCCCGUACUUGGUGUUACUGCGAAGGGGGGACGGAGAAGGCUAUGUUGGCCGGGCGACGGUUGUCCCGGUUUAAGCGUGUAGGUGUGUGUUCCAGGUAAAUCCGGUUCACUUUAACACUGAGGCGUGAUGACGAGGCACUACGGUGCUGAAGCAACAAAUGCCCUGCUUCCAGGAAAAGCCUCUAAGCAUCAGGUAACAUCAAAUCGUACCCCAAACCGACACAGGUGGUCAGGUAGAGAAUACCAAGGCGCUUGAGAGAACUCGGGUGAAGGAACUAGGCAAAAUGGUGCCGUAACUUCGGGAGAAGGCACGCUGACACGUAGGUGAAGUGAUUUACUCAUGGAGCUGAAGUCAGUCGAAGAUACCAGCUGGCUGCAACUGUUUAUUAAAAACACAGCACUGUGCAAACACGAAAGUGGACGUAUACGGUGUGACGCCUGCCCGGUGCCGGAAGGUUAAUUGAUGGGGUCAGCGCAAGCGAAGCUCCUGAUCGAAGCCCCGGUAAACGGCGGCCGUAACUAUAACGGUCCUAAGGUAGCGAAAUUCCUUGUCGGGUAAGUUCCGACCUGCACGAAUGGCGUAAUGAUGGCCAGGCUGUCUCCACCCGAGACUCAGUGAAAUUGAACUCGCUGUGAAGAUGCAGUGUACCCGCGGCAAGACGGAAAGACCCCGUGAACCUUUACUAUAGCUUGACACUGAACAUUGAGCCUUGAUGUGUAGGAUAGGUGGGAGGCUUUGAAGUGUGGACGCCAGUCUGCAUGGAGCCGACCUUGAAAUACCACCCUUUAAUGUUUGAUGUUCUAACGUGGACCCGUAAUCCGGGUUGCGGACAGUGUCUGGUGGGUAGUUUGACUGGGGCGGUCUCCUCCUAAAGAGUAACGGAGGAGCACGAAGGUUGGCUAAUCCUGGUCGGACAUCAGGAGGUUAGUGCAAUGGCAUAAGCCAGCUUGACUGCGAGCGUGACGGCGCGAGCAGGUGCGAAAGCAGGUCAUAGUGAUCCGGUGGUUCUGAAUGGAAGGGCCAUCGCUCAACGGAUAAAAGGUACUCCGGGGAUAACAGGCUGAUACCGCCCAAGAGUUCAUAUCGACGGCGGUGUUUGGCACCUCGAUGUCGGCUCAUCACAUCCUGGGGCUGAAGUAGGUCCCAAGGGUAUGGCUGUUCGCCAUUUAAAGUGGUACGCGAGCUGGGUUUAGAACGUCGUGAGACAGUUCGGUCCCUAUCUGCCGUGGGCGCUGGAGAACUGAGGGGGGCUGCUCCUAGUACGAGAGGACCGGAGUGGACGCAUCACUGGUGUUCGGGUUGUCAUGCCAAUGGCACUGCCCGGUAGCUAAAUGCGGAAGAGAUAAGUGCUGAAAGCAUCUAAGCACGAAACUUGCCCCGAGAUGAGUUCUCCCUGAGACUUAGAGUCUCCUGAAGGAACGUUGAAGACGACGACGUUGAUAGGCCGGGUGUGUAAGCGCAGCGAUGCGUUGAGCUAACCGGUACUAAUGAACCGUGAGGCUUAACCUUACAACGCCGAAG